rnacentral:ncRNA from 1 species
GAAUGUCCGUGAAAGGGAAUCAGGUGAAAGUCCUGAACUGUUCCUGCAGCUGUAAGCCGCAUUGUAAGUAUAGCCAAAGAAGCCACUGACUAUGGAGUCGGGAAGGCGGUUGUGCUUGUCGGUAAAGUCAGAAGACCUGCCAUUUAUCAUUU